rnacentral:rRNA from 1 species
CCUACGGGUGGCAGCAGUGAGGAAUAUUGGUCAAUGGGCGAGAGCCUGAACCAGCCAAGUCGCGUGUGGGAGGACUGCCCUAUGGGUUGUAAACCUCUUUUGUCGGGGAGCAAAAGUCGGACGUGUUAGCCUUUGAGAUUACCCGAAGCAAAAGCAGCGGCUAACUCCGUCCCAGCAGCCGCGGUAAUAGUGAGGAUGCGAGCGUUAUCCGUAUUUAGUGGGUUUAAGGGGUAGGCAGGCGGAGGUUGAAGUCUGCGGUCAAGUCGUGGGGCUAAACCUCAUCCAGCGGUUGAAACUGGGGAUCUAGAGUGUGCGAGAGGUAUGCGGAAUGCGUGGUGUAGCGGUGAAAUGCAUAGAUAUCACGCAGAACCCCGAUUGCGAAGGCAGCAUACCGGUGAACAACUGACGCUCAGGCACGAAAGCGUGGGUAUCGAACAGGAUUAGAUACCCGAGUAGUC